rnacentral:rRNA from 1 species
UAUUCCCUUACUAUGAGUGUCGUCCUAAUCUGGUGCCAGAAGACUCGGUAAGACCAGAGACGCUAACGUUAAUCAUCAUAAACAGGCGUAAAGGGUUUGUAGGCAGCUUUCACCAGACUAUGAUUACAAAAUAAAGUAGUUUAAUUGAAAGCUAGAAUCAAAAAGAGGUUAUAGUGUAUAACGCCUAGAGGAGGGCUGAUAUCCAUAGAUCCUAGGCAGAAUACUCAGGGCGAAGGCCACUCUCCACUACUGAUUGACGCUGAGAAACGAAGGUUAGGGUAGGAAAUAGGAUUAGAUACCCCGGUACUCCUUUCUGUAAACGAUGAAUGGUAGUCAUUAGUAUGUUUAACUAGAGACGAAGUUAACACAAUAACCAUUCCGCCUUGUGAGUACUACUGCAAAGUAGAAAA